rnacentral:lncRNA from 1 species
GUAUGGGGAAGGGAAGGAUAAGCUGUGAGAGGAUGCCCCUCAAUAUAGGGGGCAUUGAAUCAAGUGCAUAUUCUGCAGCUGAGAUGUAAUUUUGCUUCUAGCUAGUGAGAAGACUUUGUUGGAAAGAGGAUCACGGGCCUUCCCUCAUUUCUCUGCUUUAGGUUUUGGGAUAGCAACCUCAGAGACUAUGCUUUGAAAUUUCUCCUUCUGCAUGAGCUUUGGUUCCGAUCAUCUAAUCUUUAACUUAUCCCGGUGAAACCAGAGGGAAGGCCCCAGGGUCCAGGAUUCUGAUGGUCUUCCUUGUAUAAUCUCAUCCAAGGACACCCAGAUGCCCUCACGAAGGCUGAUUUUUCCCUGGACUCAGAUUUGGCUUUCAGACAUAUAAUGUGCAAAUGCUUAAAGGGAAAUGUGCCCAGAUUCUUGACACAGACCUGACCUCCAUUCAGGCUAUCAGUGGCCACUGGUUCAGAAUGAACUUGGCUCCAGUAAAAUGAACUCACUCAGCAACAGCAACUUUUAGACGACUAUUCCUCUCUACCUCCAGAUCACCAUCAGCAGUGCUUGUGGCAUUUAUUCCCAGUCUACUGGUCGAAGCUGUCACAGAGCCCACCCAGAUUCCAGGGGAGCCUUCAAAGACCUCACCUCUUGAUGGAAAGAGAAUCAAAUAGUAUGCAGUCAUUAAACAACAAAAACAACACUCUACCUUCCCAUCUCUUGAGUGGCAAUGAAAAUAAGGAAAAUCUCUACUUUUCUCCAGUCUCUGACUCUUGUGUUCUCAGGGUUCAGACAGUUAUGGUUGGGGUGAGGUACCCCCUGAGAAGCAUUCACAGCUGCCUAUUUGCC